UGGCACAUACACCCUCUCCGUCAAAUGAGAGUGCACCAUCCACAACCCGGACUCCACUGUUCAGGUCCAAGCUUUAAUGCAUCUCCGUCACAGCUUCUACACCCAUGCCAUCACAUGAACGUUCAUCAACAGUGACUCUGGCUCCACUGAACAAGUCCAUGCCCUCUGAGUUACAUGUACCAGCAACUUCCUCUGAAAUUGCAACUGGACUGUACCUGGAGAAUGUUGAACUUUAGAAACAGUGGAUUCAGCUUCCAAUCCUGUCCUAGUUUGUCCUCCACCAUUGCCAUCUGAAUUAGCAUCACCUUCAUAUGUGAGAACAGAACCUGAAGAUACACCGUAUGAAAGUUCAAGAGAAAAAUGAAGUUUUAUAACAGGAAAAUUAAUUCUGAUCAUUAUUUUAUUUUACAGUCAAUACCUGAUAGUUUUCUGUUUAACACAUGGGGCUGGCUUUUAUGCUUUUGGGAGUUAUCUGCCUUGAUUUCUGUUUCUGAAGUUUAAGUGCAACUUUGUUAAUAUUUAACUUUUGGUUUUAUUCUGUUAAAUACUGGUGAUUUAUUGAACUGUUUUGUUUGGUAAUAGAUAGAUCUUAAAUUUUAGGUUCUCAGAUUGGCAUUUUCUUAGGGUAAACUCUACUGACUUGUAUAUUUAUGAUGUGGAAGAUCAGAAAGGUUUUAAAAGUACCUGUGCCUCUGUGUGAUUCUUUUCCAAAACUGUCUGCACUCUCUUUCUUAAAA